GGGUUCGUCACUGCUGAGCCAUGACAGGAACUCCAAGGCAUCCUAUUUCAAAAGAUGUAAUUCCAGGAAUUCCCUCAUGGCUCAUUGGGUUAAGGGUCUGGUGUUGUCACUACUGUGAUUCAUGUUGCUACUGUGGUGUGGAUUCGAUCCCUGGCCCAGGAACUUCUGCAUGCUGUGGGUAUGCCCAAAAAAAUAAAUAAAAUUAAAAAAAAUAAUAAUAGUAGUUCCCACUGUGGUGCAAUGGGAUUGGCAGCGUCUCUGCAGUGCUGGGAUGCAGGUUCGAUCCCUGGCCUUGACACAGGGGUUAAGGAUCCGGCAUUGCCGUGAGCUGUGGUGUGGGUCGCAGACAUGGCUUGGAUCCCAUGUUGCUGUGGCUGUGGUGUAGGCCGGUGGCUACAGCUCCGAUUAGACCCCUAGCCUGGGAACCUCCAUAUGCCAUGGGAGUGGCUCAAGAAUAGGCAAAAAAAAGAGAGGGGGGGACCAGCAGCUGUCAUACACUGAAAGGGGUUUGUCCACUGGACACUGUUAGUGGGCAGCCAUACCCCUCAUGGCUUUAGUUCUCAAGUGACUGGCCAGCCAUUCCCCCCUGUCUUAGGAAAGCCUCCGCCUGAGAGGCAGCCAGGUGUUCCGUCUGCCCGGUGGCUCAGGGCAGGACCAUCCAUACUGCUGACACCACAGUGGUGGUAUUUGUGCUGCCCCUCGGCGUAGAGGCUGGCUUGGCUCUGGCCUCCAGAUGUAACAAAGCUUCAGUGACGCGUUGGUGGGAAGUGAUGAUGGAUGUCUCGACACGAGCGAGGGGGAUGGAGCCGCAGCUUGCCAGCCCGCAUAAACUGCACCAGCUCAGGGGAACCUGCAGCUGCCCUCAGAAGCCUCUCAGAUCAAAACUGGAUUUAAUUGCUGAACGAAUUCUAAAUGUGUUCAAAUGUUGAGGCAAGCAUGUCUGGGGGCCUGGGAGGGGGAAGUACUGGAAAGGGUGUCACAUGCCUUUUAUGACAGUGGAGAAGGAAGCUCACCCCAACACACCCAGCCUCGCCCCCGGGUGGCCCAGAUGAUAUCAUCCACACUGGACUCUCAGCUGAUUGACAUCCCUAAGGACUCCCAUCUAUUAUCUUAUGUGAUCCUCAAACUGGUUCUAAGAAUUAAGUGAAGCUGCCGUAAUCACUCCUGUGUAAUAGACGAUGAGCAGAGGCUUAUCGAGGUGACGAAUUUGUCCCCUGGCAGGGCCAGGCUCUCCACCCAGGUCUCCUGAUCUCCCCAUCUGGCCAUUGCCUAGCAGGCCAGCAGGGAGGGGAAAAGACAUAGCCCCUCUGACAAGGGUAUUCACAGCUGUUGACACCAGCCUUUAUUAAUAACAAAUGGGGGAGUUCCCGUUGUGGCUCAGCAGAUUAAGAACCCGACUAGUAGCCAUGAGAAUGCGGGUUCGAUCCCUGGCCUUGCUCAGUGGAUUAAGGAUCCGGUGUUGCCAUGAGCCUCGGUGUAGGUCGCAGACGCGGCUUGGAUCUGGCGUUGGUGUGGCUGUGAUGUAGGCCGACAUCUGCAGCUCCAAUUUGACCCCCAGCCUGGGAACUUCCAUAUGCUGCCGGUGAGGCCCUAAAUAAAUAAGUAAAUGAAUAACAAAUGGGCCAAGGAUUCGUCAGAGUUGCAACCCUAAGGACUCCCAAGCUUUUAACUCUCAAGACAUUCUUUUGCUUAUCUCAUGAAAUCAUGCCAUCUAGUCAGUAUCUAAUGCAUGCACCCCAUGGAGGGUUUGCACCACAUCCGCCUGGUAGAUCGGGAUGACUGACAACCUUCCUUCCCUCUGGGUCACUUGUAGGACUGGAGCGUUGCCCUUUAGCGUUUGUCAUCAUAGGUCCAGGCUACCCUCCAUUCUCUGUAACCUGUAAAUGCCAACAGCAUUCAAUGCAACAUAGGCCAUUUGAGUGGAAGCAUCUUAUAGUUCUUUCCUUCAUAGAAUUAUAGUUAGGGGAGUGCCCAUUGUGGUGCAUCAGAAACAAAUCUGACUAGGAACCAUGAGGUUUUGAGUUCGAUUCCUGGCCUCGCUCAGUGGGUUAAGGAUCCGGUGUCUCCAUGAGCUCUGGUGUAGGUCGCAGACACAGCUCGGAUCUUGUGUUGCUAUGGCUGUGGCGUAGGCCAGCAGCUAUAGCUCUGAUUAGACCCCUAGCCUGGGAACCCACAUAUGCUGUAGGUGUGGCCCUAAAAAGACAAAAAAAAAA
rnacentral:lncRNA from 9 species